GAUGAACGCUGGCGGCGUGCUUAAUACAUGCAAGUCGAACGGUAAGGCCCUGCCUUUGUGGGGUGCUCGAGUGGCGAACGGGUGAGUAACACGUGAGUAACCUGCCUGGUACUUUGGGAUAACUAUUGGAAACGGUGGCUAAUACCGGAUAGGAGCUCUUGCUGCAUGGUGGGGGUUGGAAAGUUUCGGCGGUUGGGCAUGGACUCGCGGCUGAUUAGCUUGUUGGUGGGGUAGUGGCUUCGCAAGGCCUUGACGAGGAGCCGGCCUGAGAGGGUGACCGGCCACAUUGGGACUGAGAUAGGGCCCAGACUCCUACGGGAGGAAGCAGUGGAGAAUAUUGCACAAUAAGCGGAAGCCUGAUGCAGCAACGCCGCGUGCGAGAUGACGGCCUUCGGGUUGUAAACCGCGUUCGCCUGUGACGAAGCGUGAGUGGCGGUAAUGGGUAAAGAAGCACCGGCUAACUACGUG
rnacentral:rRNA from 1 species